rnacentral:RNase_P_RNA from 1 species
GGAGCAGCACAGACGGUCGCGCCAUAAAUAAAAGCGAUUUGAAGAACCGCAAGCGGCCGGGCGGAUUUCCAAUGGAAUCCGACCCGGAAACAAGCUUGCAGCGACUUUAGUCGCCUGGUGAGGAAAGUCCGGGCUUCACAGGGCAGGGUGCCGGAUAACGUCCGGUGGAGGUGACUCUAAGGCUAGUGCAACAGAAAAGAAACCGCCAAUUUUACGCAAUUUUGCGUAAAAUUUGGUGAGGGUGGAAUGGCGGGGUAAGAGCCCACCGCUCGGCUGGUAACAGGCGAGGCUGUGUAAACCCCAUCCGAAGCAAGACCGAACAGGAAGCGAUACGGCGGCCCGUCGUGCUUCCGGGUUGGUCGCGUUCUGUCCGGGGAACCGGGCAGAGGAGCUGUGCGGUAACGUACAGUCAAGAAAGAUGAUCGUCAAAUACAGAACCCGGCUUAUAGUGCUGCUCCAUAA